GAUGAACGCUAGCUACAGGCUUAACACAUGCAAGUCGAGGGACCGGCGCACGGGUGAGUAACACGUAUCCAACCUGCCCUUUACUCGGGGAUAGCCUUUCGAAAGAAAGAUUAAUACCCGAUAUAAAGGAUGGGGAUGCGUUCCAUUAGGUUGUUGGUGAGGUACCGGCUCACCAAGCCUUCGAUGGAUAGGGGUUCUGAGAGGAAGCUCCCCCACAUCGGAACUGAGACCCGGUCCAAAAUCGGACGGGAGGCAGGAGUGAGGAAUAUUGGUGAAUGGGCGCUAGCCCGACCAAGCCAAGUAGCUGGAAGGAUGAAUGCGUAUGGGUCGUAAAUUUCUUGUAUAGAAGAAUAUGUAUUAUAUGAAUAAGGAUCGGCUAACUCCGUGCCAGCAGCCGCGGUAAUAC
rnacentral:rRNA from 1 species